AUUGAACGCUGGCGGCAGGCCUAACACAUGCAAGUCGAACGAGUGGCGGACGGGUGAGUAAUGUCUGGGCAACUGCCUGAUGGAGGGGGAUAACUACUGGAAACGGUAUCUAAUACCGCAUACCAUCAGAUGUGCCCAGAUGGGAUUAGCUGGUUGGUGGGGUAACGGCUCACAAAGGCGACGAUCCCUAGCCGGUCGGAGAGGAUGACCAGCCAAACGGGAAGUGAGACACGUUCCAGACUCCUACGGGGGGCAGCAGUGGGGAAUAUUGCACAAUGGGCGCAGGCCUGAUGCAGCCAUGCCGCGUGGAUGAAUAGGGCCUUCGGGUUUUAAAGUACUUUCAGCGGGGAGGCGUUACCCGCAGAAGAAGCACCGGCUAACUCCGUGCCAGCAGCCGCGGUAAUAC
rnacentral:rRNA from 1 species